UCUCCAAGUACCCGUUACCUUUCUUCCAUUGGAAUUUGCAGCCCAUUUUCCCGCGAUCCGGCAUCUCCGAUCUUCGUCGUUACGUUUUCAUCUUCUUUUAUCACCUUCCAAGUUCUAACAAUGGCUUCCUGAAUCCGAUGCUGGAGCUCCAUCGCCACAACCGUCAACCCCAAAGAUCACAUCAUGAAGCUUGCUCCUUCCAUCCUCUUCCUUUCUCUCAGCUUCUCCUCUUUUCUUAGUCCUGCCACUGCUAGAGGCGGCCUUCACAGUUCCUACCCUCCAGGUGCCAAACGGUAGUUAAUUGUGAUCAGAUAGAUUAUCACGCCUGUUGCUUUCUUAAAAUCUUUACAGUUAAGGUGGGUUAGCGCUACUAGAAAGGGAAACUAAAUCUUUAAGCAUCAAGAAUUUGACCUGGAACGGGCUAUUAAGGCGUUCAGCCAAAGAUGCAGUAACAUUUCUAGGGUUUACAGGUGAUUACGUGGGCUUGUGCAUUUUUAACAUUUACCAGAUUAUAAGUUUACCACUCGUUAGUAUAUGAAAUAAAACAAUGGUAUUUGUUAGUAGUAGUUUGAUAGUUUGAGCUGGAUAAGUGCAGGAUUUUUACUGUAGAAUUUUUGUUUGUGCAUCUCAUGAUGAUUAUGCUGAUUUAAUCUCAUGAAUAUUAAUUUAUCCAAAUUGUAUCCAAGCUGCUAUUUGGUAAAAACUUUUGAAUCCUGAAAUUUUAAUCCGUCCUAUAUACAAUCAAUUUUUUGGAACAUGGCAGGAUUUUUGAAGGAAAACGCAGUAGUGUCCCCCCUUCCUCUCUGUAUAUAAUAACAUAGAAAUUAUAUUUGUUCCAUAACCCCGAAAAAAGUUAUUAUUCAAAAGAACAGGAAUCUGCUUUGACUCUGUCGAGAUUAGCACAAAUUAGUCCUUGCAGCUGGUUGAAACUGAAUUUAACCAUAGAGCUGUGUAAUAAGGAUGCAGACACCAGUAUCUGAAAUCUUUUUGCAACAAUAACGCUGAAUAAGGGUCAGAAACUUAAAUAUAGGAAGUUUACAUUGAUUGCCCAUCAGUGGAAGUUAAAAAAGUGCGACACCUUUGAAUCCAGAAGGGUGCAGUACCUAUUUACCACCAAUUUGAGUUGAUUCUGGUAUUGGAGAAUAUCCAUCUGCAGUCUUUAUAAAAGUUUUAUUCAUUCCGCUAGUUCAAUUAUGUUACUUGUCCUUGAGAAAGGACAGACUCUAUCAAUUGUAUGUGUUUUGAUGGCAGUUUUAGUCACAAUUUUUUGUUACUUUUUCUCUGAUCUUGUAUGGAAACAAAUGAAGGAAACUACUAUGAGCCACUUAUGACCACAAGAAACUUAUAAUGAAACUGAGAAGCUGUAGUAUGAAAAAGAUUAUAACUUAUUAGUACAUGCCAAAAGAUCGAAGUGUAGUAUUUCGCGUUUACUGUUGAAAAAUGAAGUCAUGAAUUUCACUUUUUGUGGAAAAAAGUUUUACAUACUACCCGGAUUUCAGUUUAUUGAGUGUUUGUAUAGGUGACAGUGUUUUACCUCAUUGCUUUUAUUUUCAUCUUUUUGUUCCUGUUUUGACAUAUCUACUUUGCAAUUGCAAAUAAAACUAUUUUCAGACUUGUUAACGGAAAAGAAGAAAACUAUUUUCAGACUACUUCUGGAAGCUUCCUCAAUUUGCUAGCCAUUUGUGAAUUUUUAACACUUUAAUUGUGAUGUGUAAAGGCUUGGUUGUUGUUGAAGGAUUCACCCUACUUAAUGGCGUCCUAGGAUGCAUACAGCCGACCCCACUUAGCGGGAUAAGGUUUGGUUGUUGUUGUUGUUGUUUGAUUGUGAUGUGUGAUUUUUAGUAGACUGUAGGAAAUUUAAAGAUGUGUUGCACUCAGUUUGAUCCCCCAGUGUGCUUUAGAACUAGAAGAAACCAUCAUUUCAUGAAUGCUUGUGUCUUCUGUAAAAUAAAAUUGAUAUCGUGCCAAAUUAAUUGUAAAUCUUAAUAGUGUGGAGGAAAGAAAUCCUUUCCGCAAGACAUAA